AUUAUAUAAGGUGAUCAAACAAUUGUCUACUUGUCGCAUAAAAAGAUAGAAAAAAUGGCUGAAAUUCUAAAGGUUGUUUACACUAUGAUCCUUUUAGUGUCUUUAUUUCUUCUUUUAGUCGCCGACGGUGCAAAACAUAGAUGUAAGUCACACAAUGAUUGUAAAAAAUAUCCAUGUCCCCCUCUCCAUUUCAUGUAUUGCUCUGAGCAUAAUUGUGAAUGCGGAAGCUAUCCUUAAACUUGGCAAUGAUAAGAAAUCAAUGGAGCUUUUCUUAUGAUAAUGGAGUUUUUUCAAUAUUAAUUGUUGAUUUUGUUGUAUGAGUGGAGAUCCAUUGAAUUUAAAUGUAACUCUAAAUUUAAUAACUACAUUUAAAACUCUUUGUAUUCCUCAAAAUUUAUUGUUAUUAUCUGUUUUAACUUAUAAUUUUCAAACUUAAGAGUUAUAACAUUAUUGUCGUUA